GAUGAACGCUGGCGGCGUGCCUAAUACAUGCAAGUCGAGCGAACAGACGAGGAGCUUGCUCCUCUGACGUUAGCGGCGGACGGGUGAGUAACACGUGGAUAACCUACCUAUAAGACUGGGAUAACUUCGGGAAACCGGAGCUAAUACCGGAUAAUAUAUUGAACCGCAUGGUUCAAUAGUGAAAGACGGUUUUGCUGUCACUUAUAGAUGGAUCCGCGCCGCAUUAGCUAGUUGGUAAGGUAACGGCUUACCAAGGCAACGAUGCGUAGCCGACCUGAGAGGGUGAUCGGUCACACUGGAACUGAGACACGGUCCAGACUCCUACGGGAGGCAGCAGUAGGGAAUCUUCCGCAAAGGGCGAAAGCCUGACGGAGCAACGCCGCGUGAGUGAUGAAGGUCUUCGGAUCGUAAAACUCUGUUAUUAGGGAAGAACAAAUGUGUAAGUAACUAUGCACGUCUUGACGGUACCUAAUCAGAAAGCCACGGCUAACUACGUG
rnacentral:rRNA from 1 species